CGGCUGGGGGCUUUAUUAGGGGGCACCGGGGUCUGCUUUCCGACUCCCUUCCGACUCCGCGCCUGCGCAGGAAGCGAUUUGGGGAGUGUUGUGAAUUCCGAGGGCUCCACACUUAAGAGGUUGUACACUCACCUGUCUACCUGGACUCCAAUUUCCAUAUUUCCAGCCACUUGAGGACUGAGAGGUGGAUGAUAAACCCUGUCAUAGUGGAGCAAGUUCAGGUGUUUAACCGCUGUUAUGGGGGAUCUGCCUUUUCUCCCUCUUCUUUCUUACUUCCAUAAGUAUGUAUGUGCAGAGAUUGAAAAAUAACCUUGAGAGAGUCCAUCCAUCUAACUCCAGGGAGUCGUGCUCUGUCACCCAGGCUGGAGUGUAGUGGCGCGAUCUCUGCUCUGCUCAUUGCAACCUCUGCCUCCCUGGUUCAAGCAAUUCUUCUGCCUCAGCCUCCCAAGUAGCUUGGAUUACAGGCGCCCGCCACCACACCCAGCUAAUUUUUGUAUUUUUAGUAGAGACGGGGUUUCACCGUGUUGGCCAAGCUGGUCUCGAACUCCUGACCUCGUGAUCCGCCCACCUUGUCCUCCCAAAGUGCUGGGAUUACAGGCGUGAGCCACCGCGCCCGGCCAAUAAGCUUUUUUCUUAAAAAGUACUCAGAAGACUUUUCUAUCCAUUCAUUCUGUUAACGCGCGUCAGUGUGAAGAGACCACCAAACAGGCUUUGGAAAGCUCCUAGAGAAUGUGUUCAGCAAAACAUGGGAGUAGCCCAAGAAAAAGAAAGACAUGAGAUCCAGAAAACCGGACCAGGAAAUUAAGAAGGGAAACUCCAGGAUGAGAGAAAUAUGGCAGAAUUGGAGAGCAACCCAUUUUCACUGAACAGGGAGAUGGCAGACUUCAAGAGAAAACAGUAGUUACAGUAAUUGAAAUGAUAGAUUAUCUAAUUUUGAGUAUUUGAGAAAUUAUAUUGAUAGAUGUUUGAUAGAUCUAAUGAACUAUGGGAUAAAAUUGGAGAAUGAAUUGUAAAAAAAAAUACAAGUAAAAAAAGGAGACAAUUGUUAAUUCCAUGAAAAUUACAUCAGAAGGGAGACAACAUUUCUCUAAACUGUUUUGUGGUGGUGAAAAAUGUAGAACUUUUCAGAACUUUUGAAAUGCUAAUAUGCAUCUCUAAGAAGGAGAGAGCAUGAAGCAUAGAACUUCAUGGAAUUUAUUUGUAUUGUUAAUUACAUUACUUUUAAAUUUACUUUUUAAAACCAUAUCACAUGGUUUAAAAUUUAAAACAAUAAGGACUCAUAAUGCAAUAGAAAAAUUGAGAAGAGGACUUAGAUACCUUGAAAAAGAGGUGAAAAGGUUCUCAACAUCAUUAAUUAUCAGGGAAUCACAAAUUUUAUUCACAUUGCAACACUACUAUCCAAACAGUAGAAUGAAUAAAAUUAAAAAGACAGAAUAUACCAAGUGUGAGUGAGGAUUUGGAGCAACAGGAGCUCUUGUACACUGCUCAUGGGAGUGUUGAUUGGUUCAAUCAAUUUUGUAAAUUGUAUGUCAGUAUCUAUUAAAAUUGUAGAUAUGCA
rnacentral:lncRNA from 1 species